rnacentral:lncRNA from 1 species
AACUUGUAUUGCAAUGCUUUGCUACUCAAACUAGUAAUCCACCUCAAAGUCACAAAUAGCAAACCUAGUAUCUAUUAAGUGAAAGCAUGAAUCUAUCUAAGUUAAAUGACGAACUGUUUGACUUUCCGGAGGAUGGUUACCCUCCCUUGGACUCUUUAUGGAGAUAUUUUCAGAGCCUAUUACAUAGGUAUUCGAAAUUUGGUCAAAUAUUUCUCAUUUCAAUAUUAAUAAUUCAAAAAU